GACGGGGCCCGCACAAGCGGUGGAGCAUGUGGUUAAUUCGACGCAACGCGAAGAACCUUACCAGGGCUUGACAUCCCCUGACCGCGUAUGAAAGUACGUUUUCACCCUCGGGUGACAGGGAGACAGGUGGUGCAUGGUUGUCGUCAGCUCGUGUCGUGAGAUGUUGGGUUAAGUCCCGCAACGAGCGCAACCCCUACGUUUAGUUGCUAACGCGUGAAGGCGAGCACUCUAGACGAACUGCCGUUGACAAAACGGAGGAAGGUGGGAUGACGUCAAAUCAUCAUGCCCCUUAUGUUCUGGGCUACACACGUGCUACAAUGGCCGGUACAGACGGACGCAAAGCCGCGAGGUGGAGCAAAUCCUAAAAAGCCGGUCUCAGUUCGGAUUGCAGGCUGCAAUUCGCCUGCAUGAAGUCGGAAUCGCUAGUAAUCGCAGGUCAGCAUACUGCGGUGAAUACGUUCCCGGGCCUU
rnacentral:rRNA from 1 species